CGCCUGUUUAUCAAAAACAUGUCCUUUUGAUAAUUUAUUUAAGGUCUAACCUGCCCAAUGAAUAAUUGAAUGGCCGCGGUAUUUUAACUGUGCUAAGGUAGCAUAAUCAUUUGUCUUUUAAUUGAAGGCUGGAAUGAAAGGUUGGACGAAACAUCAAUUUUCUUUAAUUUAAUAGUAGAAUUUAAUUUUUUAGUUAAAAAGCUAAAAUUUUUUUAGGGGACGAGAAGACCCUAUAGAUCUUGAUAAAGUCAAUAUUUAUUAAUUUGGUCGUUGAAUAUAAUUGAAUAUGAAGUUUUAUUUGAUUGGGGCGAUUCUAGAAUUUAACAAACUUCUGGUUUUAUUUUUCAUUAAUUAAUGUUUUUUUGAUCCGUUAUUAGUGAUUAAAAGAUUAAGUUACCUUAGGGAUAACAGCGUAAUUUUUUCAGAGAGUUCAUAUUAAUGAAAAAGUUUGCGACCUCGAUGUUGGAUUAAAAUAAGUGUUUGGUGCAGUAGCUAAAUUACUAGGUCUGUUCGACCUUUAAAUUUUUACAUGAUCUGAGUUCAAACCGGAG
rnacentral:rRNA from 1 species